AACUGCUCUACCCACUGUACCCCCAUAACUGAGUGCACAUUCAUCGUCUUGGAUAAACAGCAAUAGGCAGAUCCCAGUAUAGAAGAGGAGCAGUGCACAGUGGGAGAUGUCAACAUGUUCCUGGCCGACCCAACAGACCUCUCCUCGGCUGAGCUGGAGAUCAUGAUAGCAGCACACAGUAAUGAUACCCUUUAGUGGUGGUACACAGCAUUACACCAAUCUUAGUCUUAGUCAUGAUCUUCAAUCUCAGGCUUUCCUAGACUGUCGGAAAAUCAGCAGCAGUUUCUUCCAUUACAACAUCCAAAAGCAGCACAGACCUCUGGUGUUUUCAACCCUGUGAAGAUGACCAAUAACAGAAACCAGUAAAAGUUCUAAAUGUGUGUCUAUCCAGUAGCUGGAAAGCUAGGUGGUUAACACCAUUGGGUGACGCAGGUUGGGGUUCAGUUCCCUGUCAAAGCAUGAUAGAUUGAUUUGUGAGUGUGAUUUAGAUCCUUGUGCAAUCUUAUUAACCAAUACCAGAAGCCAGUAAAAGUUCCAAAUAUGUUCCUGUACACCAGCUAGAUAGCUCGGUGGUUAACACCACUGACUGUGGUACAGCAGGUCUGGGUUUUAAUAAUGAGCCUCUCUAUGGAUUUUAGUCAGAAAUGUUACACGCUGUAUUUGAUCCUUCAUCAACUCAACUAAUGUGCAUGUUACACUGCUUACAUAAACUGUUUUCAUUUGCUCCGAGGAUCAUGGUCUAGUAAUGUAAAAUCUUUAGUACUGAAUGCGACACAGUCUCUAUUUGCAACAUAUUUCACAAUGUUCUGAACAAUUUACUCACUAUCUGAAUUGUUGUCUGGAGGUUUGUAGUGUGAGCCCACACUGGGCCACGUGUCUGAUUUCGGAAGAUGAUGUACUCAGGUCUUCAGGUGAACUGUAUUCAAAUACAUUGUUCAAUGUUUAAUAUAUAACAAAAAUGUUGAAAUACAUUGUUUUACAGUUAAACUUGCCUUUCAUGAAACAACAGUGGGGGAAUGAACUAAUAAAUGUUCUGUAUAUCAUCUAUGCAAAGUAUGGUUAGUCCUGUUGUGCAUAUUGCCAAAAUACAAGUGAACAUGAGUAAUAAAGUACUACCAAGUACUAGUACUGUCUCAAUAUAAUUCUACUUUGAACAAAAUGAUACAGGAAUAUUUUAGCAGCUCUGUGGG